UACGUAGGGUGCAAGCGUUGCCCGGAUUUAUUGGGCGUAAAGGGCGCGUAGGCGGCUCGGCACGUCCGUUGUGAAAUCGCCCGGCUCAACUGGGCGGGGUCAGCGGAUACGGCGCGGCUGGAGCAAGCUAGGGGGCAAUGGAAUUCCCGGUGUAGUGGUGGAAUGCGUAGAUAUCGGGAGGAACACCAGUGGCGAAGGCGGUUGCCUGGAGCUUUGCUGACGCUGAUGCGCGAAAGCGUGGGGAGCAAACGGG
rnacentral:rRNA from 1 species